rnacentral:rRNA from 1 species
AACGAACGCUGGCGGCAUGCCUAACACAUGCAAGUCGAACGAGACCUUCGGGUCUAGUGGCGCACGGGUGCGUAACGCGUGGGAACCUGCCCUUAGGUUCGGAAUAACUCCCCGAAAGGGGUGCUAAUACCGGAUAAUGUCUUCGGACCAAAGAUUUAUCGCCUUUGGAUGGGCCCGCGUUGGAUUAGCUAGUUGGUAGGGUAAAAGCCUACCAAGGCGACGAUCCAUAGCUGGUCUGAGAGGAUGAUCAGCCACACUGGGACUGAGACACGGCCAAGACUCCCAGGGGAGGCGGAAGGGGGGAAUAUUGAACAGGGGGGGAGGGCUUGACCCAGCUGUGCCGCGGGAGGAAUAAGGCCGUUGGGGGUGAAAAGCCUUUUUACCAGGGGUGAAAAUGACCGUCCGGGAAAAAUGAGCGCGGGCUAACCCCGUG